UUACGUCGCUCGUAUUCUACGUCCUUCCUGAGGGCUGUUCCGUUUGGACACUUCUCCUCAGCAUGAGAGCUAAGUGGAGAAAGAAGCGUAUGCGCAGGCUGAAGCGCAAAAGAAGAAAGAUGAGGCAGAGGUCAAAGUAAACUGCCCACUUCUUGGCUGUGAUGUUCGAAGCUCUGAACAACUGGGCCAUAACCGCAGCUGGAGUCCCAGGAUUUCCCCGGUGUCAGGUCUGAGGCCGGUAUCAUCCAUAUCAACGAGAGGCUAUGGAGUGACAUCAGAGCUGAUUGAUAUCAAGAGCACUGAUUCAGGACCACUUGGAUGAAAGGCAUCUGUACGGGACAGUCAGGACUUUGUUCUCAACGCUUAAAUUCUUUCGUUUUGUUUUUUUAACUUUGAUGAUUAAAGAUUUUACUUUUGAGAA